rnacentral:sRNA from 1 species
GUUUUGCAUUAGGGAUUGAAGCGGCAUCCUUUUUUUUCUUUGCUUUUUAGCAAAUUGAAAAAAAAGAUAUAGUGAAAAGCCCGACCCGCU